rnacentral:rRNA from 1 species
GAUGAACGCUGGCGGCGUGCCUAAUACAUGCCAGUCGAGCGAACAGACGAGGAGCUUGCUCCUCUGGCGUUAGCGGCGGACGGGUGAGUAACACGUGGAUAACCUACCUAUAAGACUGGGAUAACUUCGGGAAACCGGAGCUAAUACCGGAUAAUAUAUUGAACCGCAUGGUUCAAUAGUGAAAGACGGUUUUGCUGUCACUUAUAGAUGGAUCCGCGCCGCAUUAGCUAGUUGGUAAGGUAACGGCUUACCAAGGCAACGAUGCGUAGCCGACCUGAGAGGGUGAUCGGCCACACGGGAACUGAGACACGGCCCAAACCCCUAGGGGAGGCAGCAGUAGGGAAUUUUCCGCAAGGGGCGAAAGCCGAACGGAGCAACGCCGGGGGGGGGAUGAAGGUCUUCGGAUCGUAAAACUCUGUUAUUAGGGAAAAAAAAAUGUGUAAGUAACUAUGCACGUCUGGACGGUACCUAAUCAGAAAGCCACGGCUAACUACGU